AAAACGACUCUCGGCAACGGAUAUCUCGGCUCUCGCAUCGAUGAAGAACGUAGCGAAAUGCGAUACUUGGUGUGAAUUGCAGAAUCCCGUGAACCAUCGAGUCUUUGAACGCAAGUUGCGCCCCAAGCCUUCGGGCCGAGGGCACGUCUGCCUGGGUGUCACGCAUCGUAGCCC
rnacentral:rRNA from 1 species